GUCUGGCACUCGAUGAAGAGCGCAGUGAACUGCGAUAAGUAAUGCGAAUUGCAGAAUUCAGCGAGCCAUUGAAUCUUUGAACGCACAUUGCGCCCGCCAGCAUUCUGGCGGGCAUGCCUGUCCGAGCGUCAUUUCCUCCCUCACGCAGCAGGCUUGCGUGGUGUUGGGGCGUUCUGCCACCCGCGGGGUCUCCCCCGCCGGGCGGCAGCCCCCGAAAGCCAGCGGCGGGCCGGCAGCGGGCUCCGAGCGCAGUAAGCAGCAGUGCCCUCGCUCUGGACGCCCCCGCCAGCGCCCUGCCCAGACCGCAGACGCAAGGAUCAAAUCGUGUGUCUCCCUUCCUCGCAAGGUUGACCUCGGAUCAGGUAGGACUACCCGCUGAACUUAAGCAUAUCAAUAAGCGGAGGAAAAGAAACCAACAGGGAUUGCCCCAGUAACGGCGAGUGAAGCGGCAACAGCUCAGAUUUGGAAUCUGGCCCCCAGGGCCCGAGUUGUAAUCUGGAGAGGAUGCUUCUGGCGCGGCGCCUUCCGAGUUCCCUGGAACGGGACGCCGGAGAGGGUGAGAGCCCCGUACGGUCGGACGCCCAGCCUUUGUGAAGCUCCUUCGACGAGUCGAGUAGUUUGGGAAUGCUGCUCAAAAUGGGAGGUAAAUUUCUUCUAAAGCUAAAUACCGGCCAGAAGACCGAUAGCGCCCAAGUAAGAGUGAUCGAAAGAUGAAAAGCACUUUGAAAAGAGGGUCAAACAGUACGUGAAAUUGUUGAAAGGGAAGCGCUCGUGGCGAGACUUGUGCCCCGCGGACCACCCGGCGCUCUCAGCGCCGGUGCACUCCGCGGGGCGCAGGCCAGCAUCGGUUUUCCCAGGGGGACAAAGGCGGCGGGAACGUGGCUCUCACGGGAGUGUUAUAGCCCGCUGCGCCAUGCCCCUGGGGGGACCUAGGACCGCGCUUCGGCAAGGAUUCGCAUGGCGUCACUGGCCACCGGC
rnacentral:rRNA from 1 species